GAUGAACGCUGGCGGCGUGCCUAAUACAUGCAAGUCGAGCGAACAGACGAGGAGCUUGCUCCUUUGACGUUAGCGGCGGACGGGUGAGUAACACGUGGAUAACCUACCUAUAAGACUGGGAUAACUUCGGGAAACCGUAGCUAAUACCGGAUAACAUGUUGAACCGCAUGGUUCAACAGUGAUAGACGGUCUUGCUGUCACUUAUAGAUGGAUCCGCGCCGCAUUAGCUAGUUGGUAAGGUAACGGCUUACCAAGGCAACGAUGCGUAGCCGACCUGAGAGGCUGAUCGGCCACACUGGAACUGAGACACGGUCCAGACUCCUACGGGAGGCAGCAGUAGGGAAUCUUCCGCAAUGGGCGAAAGCCUGACGGAGCAACGCCGCGUGAGUGAAGAAGGUCUUCGGAUCGUAAAACUCUGUUAUUAGGGAAGAACAAAUGUGUAAGUAACUAUGCACGUCUUGACGGUACCUAAUCAGAAAGCCACGGCUAACUACGUG
rnacentral:rRNA from 1 species